UGGGUAACCUACCCUCAAGUGGGGAAUAACUGCCAGAAAUGGCAGCUAAUACCGCAUGUGGUUGGCUGAGGACAUCCUUGGCUAACUAAAGAUUUAUCGCUUGAGGACGGCCUCGCGGCCUAUUAGCUUGUUGGUGGGGUAAUGGCCUACCAAGGCGAUGAUGGGUAGCUGGUCUGAGAGGACGAUCAGCCACACUGGGACUGAGACACGGCCCAG
rnacentral:rRNA from 1 species